rnacentral:lncRNA from 1 species
ACAUUAAAAAAAUAAGAAGAAGAAAAAUCACCAUCUUUUUCCCUCUUCCCAGCUUCAUCACCACCUCUUCCACCUACAGACUGUUGUCAUUUUUGUCAUUUAAAGAUUUGAACGAUUGUGAAGCACUGUGUUGAAAAUCUAGUAAUUUGUUACAGACCGUACUUGCCACAUAGGGCUGAUUUGUAAGAGCCUGAGGACUGCCUUUAAUGGAAUUUGAGUUUGACCUCGUCCUUCCUAGCGUUUGCUGCGUCCUUCAGAGCAGCUGACACUCACUUCUUGAAGGUCUUAUGUGCCCUCUCCUGUCCUGUCCCCACUUGCUUUCCCAGUAGCCACGGCCUUGCCCAGAGGGUCACCUGUUUUCUUUGUCAGGUCAUACCCCCUGUCUUAGAAGGGGCUGUGUAUUAAAUUAGAGUGGGGAGAAACUUCUCCCUGAGCCUUCACAUAAGACUAUUAUUGGAUAUUUAACAAAUUAUAACCCCCAAAAAGGAAUAAGCAUUUAAUAGUCAUUACAAAAUGUCAGACCCAUUAGAUCCAGGCUGAACCAUGCUCUU